CGCGUAGGCGGUUUUGUUAGUCGAAUGUGAAAGCCCCGGGCUUAACCUGGGAAUUGCGUUCGAUACUGCAUAACUAGAGUACGGUAGAGGGAAGUGGAAUUUCGGGUGUAGCGGUGAAAUGCGUGGAUAUCCGGAGGAACACCAGUGGCGAAGGCGACUUCCUGGGCCAGUACUGACGCUGAGGUGCGAAAGCGUGGGGAGCAAACAAG
rnacentral:rRNA from 1 species